ACGCGAAAGGGACUUCGGUCCUGAGUAAAGUGGCGCACGGGUGAGUAACGCGUAGAUAACCUGUCUUUACGUCUGGAAUAAUACGCCGAAAGGGGUACUAAUACCGGAUAUUCUUGCUUUAUAUAAGUUUUGCAAGCAAAGGUGGCCUCUGACAUAAGCUACUGCAUAAAGAGGGGUCUGCGUACCAUUAGCUUGUAGGUGGGGUAAUGGCCUACCUAGGCGACGAUGGUUAGCGGGUCUGAGAGGAUGAUCCGCCACACUGGCACUGGAACACGGGCCAGACUCCUACCGGGAGGCAGCAGUGAGGAAUAUUGCGCAAUGGGGGCAACCCUGACGCAGCGACGCCGCGUGAGCGAGGAAGGCCUUCGGGUCGUAAAGCUCUGUCAAAGGGAAAGAAAUGUAUAAUGGUUAAUACCUGUUAUAUUUGACGGUACCCUUAAAGGAAGCACCGGCUAACUCCGUG
rnacentral:rRNA from 1 species